rnacentral:misc_RNA from 1 species
GAUGAAGAACGUAGCGAAAUGCGAUAAGUAAUGUGAAUUGCAGAAUUCAGUGAAUCAUCGAAUCUUUGAACGCACAUUGCGCCCGCCAGUAUUCUGGCGGGCAUGCCUGUUCGAGCGUCAUUACAACCCUCAGGCCCCCGGGCCUGGCGUUGGGGAUCGGCGGAGCCCCCCGUGGGCACACGCCGUCCCCCAAAUGCAGUGGCGGUCCCGCCGCAGCUUCCAUCGCGUAGUAGCUAACACCUCGCUACUGGAGAGCGGCGCGGCCACGCCGUAAAACACCCAACUCUUCUGAAGUUGACCUCGAAUCAGGUAGGAAUACCCGCUGAACUUAAGCAUAUCAAUAAGCGGAGGA